rnacentral:rRNA from 1 species
UGCAAGUCGAGCGGACCGAAUAGAAGCUUGCUUCUGUUCGGUUAGCGGCGGACGGGUGAGUAACACGUGGGCAACCUGCCCGUAAGACGGGGAUAACUUCGGGAAACCGGAGCUAAUACCCGAUAACCCUGAAGACCGCAUGGUCUUUAGUUGAAAGGCGGCUUCGGCUGUCACUUACGGAUGGGCCCGCGGCGCAUUAGCUAGUUGGUGAGGUAACGGCUCACCAAGGCGACGAUGCGUAGCCGACCUGAGAGGGUGAUCGGCCACACUGGGACUGAGACACGGCCCAGACUCCUACGGGAGGCAGCAGUAGGGAAUCUUCCGCAAUGGACGAAAGUCUGACGGAGCAACGCCGCGUGAGCGAAGAAGGUCUUCGGAUUGUAAAGCUCUGUUGUUAGGGAAGAACAAGUGUGGUUCGAAUAGGGCCGUACCUUGACGGUACCUAACGAGAAAGCCACGGCUAACUACGUGCCAGCAGCCGCGGUAAUACGUAGGUGGCAAGCGUUGUCCGGAAUUAUUGGGCGUAAAGCGCGCGCAGGCGGUUCCUUAAGUCUGAUGUGAAAGCCCACGGCUCAACCGUGGAGGGUCAUUGGAAACUGGGGGACUUGAGUGCAGAAGAGGAGAGCGGAAUUCCACGUGUAGCGGUGAAAUGCGUAGAGAUGUGGAGGAACACCAGUGGCGAAGGCGGCUCUCUGGUCUGUAACUGACGCUGAGGCGCGAAAGCGUGGGGAGCAAACAGGAUUAGAUACCCUGGUAGUCCACGCCGUAAACGAUGAGUGCUAAGUGUUAGAGGGUAUCCACCCUUUAGUGCUGUAGCUAACGCAUUAAGGCACUCCGCCUGGGGGAGUACGCUCGCAAGAGGUGAAACUCAUUGAAUUUGACGGGGGCCCCGCACAGUCGGUGGAGCAUGUGGUUUAAUUCCGAGGCAACGCGAAGAACCUUUACCAGGUCUUGACAUCCCCCUGGA